rnacentral:lncRNA from 1 species
UGAAAUGGCCAAGUGCUCUGCACGGCUACUCCCACUAUACACACACCCUAGCCUAGCUUUGUAAUAGAAAUAUCAGUAGUGGUUAGAGUUUGUAAUAUUGAGAGUAGUGGCCAUUGUAGCCAACCUUCGGGUUUGGAUUUGUAGCACCUUCGAGGUAUUUAUCAAUAUACAGAUAUACCUUGGAAAAUAUUGUGUGUUGGUUUGAUAUUUUCAUAUCCUCAGAACCGACCAGAUAUAUAUCCGGAACACGAAACCCAUUACAGGACUGCAAUUUGUUUAUCCGCAAGAUUCGAAAGAAUUUUAAAUUGUAGUGAGUAUCGUAUUCAACCCCCCCCCCCUUCUACGAUACUUUGGACCUAACACAAAUGCCCUGCCUCUGCAAGAUAUGCCAAAACCUACUGUUCACUGACAUACAUCAAGCUUUCACAGAGAUCCAUAUGGGGAAGUGACAUUUUAUAUAUGUGUGCACUUAUAUAUUUGUAUAUGUACAAAUAUAUUUAUAUGUAUAUAUAUAUGUAUAUUUUAUUAAAUAUAAUAUAUAUAAUAUAUAUGUAUAUAUGUUUGUAAACAUAUGUAUAUGUAUAUUUAUAUGUAUAUAUAUUUAAAUAAAUAUAUAUGUAUAUAAUAUAUGUAUUUAUAUUUUACAUAAGCAUUUAUAUAAUUAAGUGUAUAUAUAUAUUAUAUUAUGUGCAUAAAUAUAUGUAUAUUUAGAGAGAGUUAUAUAUAUCUUUAUAUAUAUAUUUAUAUUUAUAUUUACACAUAGUUAUAUGUAUAUUAUAUAUAUUUAAAUAUAUGAGAAUAUAUUUAAAUAUAUGUGUAUAUAUAUGUUACUAUAUGUUUAUAUAAAUAUUAUAUAUAUGUAUAUAUUUAUAUAUACUUUUCUUUAUAUAUAUUUAUGUUUAUAUUUAUAUUUAUAAAUAACUAUAUAUAUCUCUAUAUAUAUUUAUAUAUAUUUAUAUUUGUAUUUACAUAUAAUUAUAUAUUAUAUAUAUUUAAAUAUAUGAGAAUAUAUUUAAAUAUAUGUACAUAUAUUAUUAUAUGUUCAUAUAAAUAAUAUACAUAUCUGUAUAUAUUUAUAUAUACUUUUAUUUAUUAAUAUAAACACAAUAUAAUAUAUUAUAUUAUAUAUAUGAUGCAUGCAUGGAGAUGAUGUCAUUUGUCUAGGGCACUCUAGGGAUAAUGUCAUUUGUCUAGGGCACUCUAGGGUUUACUUGUGUGGCACCUGGGCUAUAUAAUGCAACGGAGUGGCGCUAUUCUUUCUUCUACCUGUAUGCUAGUGUAUGUUGAUGUUGUAUGAAGACUAAGGCGGGAGUAUAGAUACACGGCAGUAUGGAGCGACACUUGCAUGCUUCCAGAUUUUGUCUAAGGUUGGCGCAACUUCCUUGAUCACCCUGGUUAAUGUUAGUGGGGCCACUAUCAACCAGGAGUGAUAACAUUGUACAUACUGUGGUGAUUGAGUGAUUGAGCGCCAGUUGACGUGAGCCCAGCAGAAACUAAGGCAAAAAUAAAUAUUAUGUACAGGCUUACUCAUGGAGGUGCAAGGUUGCUAUUUACUCAAUUAACCAUGCUCCAUCCUGUGUAGAACACUGGUAUAACAUGGGGGGCAGUAUUGUACAUUUAUAGUUUGCGCUGGUUGCUUAUAGUGGACACAGUGAGUCUAGGCAAAUCCAACAGCAAUACUCAUAGCUACUACUGUGCAAGGAGUGGUGCCACGUUCUAACCUGGAUUACCUGGCGCAAGUUCAGGUAACACAAGCUGGUUAAUUUAUUAACCAUGAGUGAUAUCAGUUGUACAGUGGAGAACAUCGCAACUUCAUGUCUUUAGUAACCACGGUAGGCGCAAGUUUUUGUUCCUUGGAUUUAUUCCAAGUCAAAACAACUUGUGCAUAGAGUGGAUGAAGGUGGCGCAAACUCAAGAGGCGCCAACUCAAUUUUGUUAACUAGGGUUAGUUUAUGAAAAGCCUAUAAAUACCCCAUGUGUGUUCUCACAAUUGUAACACACACUCUUGACACAUAUUGUACAACCUCUCUCCACACAACACCUUAGCUUACCACACCAAAAGAAAUAUAUUUUUAGAAGCUAGGGGUUGUAGUGUUUGUAUCAAUAGUCAUUGUAGCCAACCUUCGGGUUUGGAUUUAUAGCACCCUUCGAGGUAUUUAUCAAUAUACAGAUAUACCUUGGAAAAUAUUGUGUGUUGAUUUAAUAUUUUCAUAUCCUCAGAAACCG